CAAACGUGAAGAUUUCAAGCGGAUUAAUUCAUCCAGCAGGUGCAGAGCAAAACACCGUCCAUCUAGAAGACAUCCAGACCAACUAGACAGAGGCAUAAUCCUGUCCUGAUUAUCAACCUGGCUGGAAUCUGAAGGAGUAAUUCUUACAUGGACUCUAUUCCUCUCCAACCACCAUGUCAGAGAUGGAAUUACAUACCAUGGUACAGUGCAUGAAGCCAGACCUGUCCUGAAGGGAGUAUAUCACAUCAUGUCCGCUGAACCCUCUGUGCCCGACAGUACUGAAAACAACAAGCAAGAUCACAAAAGCAACUUAUUCUGGGUAGACUAAUGGAAAAUAAACACUAGAAGCACCCUGCACCACUCUGCAUUCUUCCAAAAGCAUCAAGACCUUAAAAG